rnacentral:lncRNA from 1 species
GUGAACUUUGCCCAAGGCUGGGGCCCGAGUUUCUUCUCUGUCCCCAUGGCACAGCCACACAUAGGGCCAAGUGCUUGAUCAGUCCUCUGUGAUCACUGGCGUGAGGGAUGCUGGCAAUAUGAUUAUGAGGACCUUAGCAGAUGCUGCUGGUGCCCACAUCCAUGCAGCAUUCACUCUGCACCCUAAAAGCUGCUUAUGGUGAACAUUGUGGCUCUGCCGCAGGACUUCCUUCUCCGGCUGGGGAGCGCAUGUGGCCUGUGUAUAGGACAAUCAAGAAGUGUCUGAGAGCCACAGAGCAGGAAAGACACCUCGACAGUUUCCUCACCCUCAGUUGAGGAAUUCAACAGGAGUUGGAAAGAGCUCAGCAAGACCAGCCAAAGACUCAAAGAACAUUUGGCUCAAGGAAAUUCCAGAAGAGAAAGAGCUGGUGAAAAGGGAGGCUGGAAUCCUGGCAGCUACCUCCCACCCAGAGCAGGGAGGGUGGUACAAGCUGCCAAGGGAAAGAUCCAGGCCAGGCUGGGAAGCUACCUUCAUACAUGGGGCCUCAACUUGUUAUGAUUCAUGGAUGAAACAGGACCCAGAGGGAGACAAAGGAGUUAGCGUUCAGUGGUUGAUGCUCAGGAAGCAGGAAGAGCUCUCAAGGAAGCCCCCUUCAGAACGAGAAUGGCAGAAGAUGACCUCUCCUCACCGCACUAAUUUCCCGCAAGCUACUGGGGUCAGUACCAGUUCCCGGUAAUGACUGAUGUGGACAACAGCCUGAGACCCCGUCAGCUCUUUCUUCAGCACCGAGAGUUAGGCAUGGAGAGCACAAGGUGGCAGACAGAUGCCCCACAAAGUCCCCAGGACUCCAGUCUGAUGAAGAGAAACAAAGCAGUCUCAGCGUCUGACAGAUUUAUGUUGCAGAGAUCUUUUACGCCCUGUUUUAAUCAGUGUGUCCUGAGCAGUAAGUCUGGAGUUAGCGGUCUCUGUGUUCUGCCACAUCCCACCACGGAUACCUUGCCUUCCUUCUCUACUUAAGCAGAACUACAUCCUUCAGAGACUUAUCAAGAUGGAAUCAGAAGUCACAUGAGGGGCGCCUGGGUGGCGCAGUCGGUUAAGCGUCCGACUUCAGCCAGGUCACGAUCUCACGGUCCGUGAGUUCGAGCCCCGCGUCAGGCUCUGGGCUGAUGGCUCGGAGCCUGGAGCCUGUUUCCGAUUCUGUGUCUCCCUCUCUCUCUGCCCCUCCCCCGUUCAUGCUCUGUCUUUCUCUGUCCCAAAAAUAAAUAAACGUUGAAAAAAAAUUAAAAAAAAAAA